UAGUCCACGCCGUAAACGAUGUCUGCUAGCCGUCGGGGCACUUGGUGUUUCGGUGGCGCCGCUAACGCAUUAAGCAGACCGCCUGGGGAGUACGGUCGCAAGAUUAAAACUUAAAGGAAUUGACGGGGGCCCGCACAAGCGGUGGAGCAUGUGGUUUAAUUCGAAGCAACGCGCAGAACCUUACCAACCCUUGACAUCCUGUGCUAACCCGAGAGAUCGGGCGUCCACUUCGGUGGCGCAGUGACAGGUGCUGCAUGGCUGUCGUCAGCUCGUGUCGUGAGGUGUUCGGUUAAGUCCGGCAACGAGCGCAACCCACAUCUUUAGUUGCCAGCAGUUCGGCUGGGCACUCUAAAGAAACUGCCCGUGAUAAGCGGGAGGAAGGUGUGGAUGACGUCAAGUCCUCAUGGCCCUUACGGGUUGGGCUACACACGUGCUACAAUGGCAGUGACAAUGGGUUAAUCCCAAAAAGCUGUCUCAGUUCGGAUUGGGGUCUGCACUCGACCCCAUG
rnacentral:rRNA from 1 species